AACGAACGCUGGCGGCAUGCCUAACACAUGCAAGUCGAACGUGAUCCGGGACUUCGGUUUCGGUGAGAGUGGCGGACGGGUGAGUAACGCGUGGGAACCUGCCCAGUGGUAGGGGAUAACCGCGGGAAACUGCGGCUAAUACCCUAUGUGCCCUGCGGGGCAAAGAUUCAUCGCCAUUGGAGGGGCCCGCGUCGGAUUAGGUAGUUGGUGGGGUAACGGCCUACCAAGCCUUCGAUCCGUAGCUGGCUGAGAGGAUGAUCAGCCACACUGGGACUGAGACACGGCCCAGACUCCUACGGGAGGCAGCAGUGGGGAGUAUUGGACAAUGGGGGCAACCCUGAUCCAGCAAUGCCGCGUGAGUGAUGAAGGCCUUAGGGUUGUAAAGCUCUUUCGGCGGGGAAGAUGAUGACGGUACCCGCAAGAAGAA
rnacentral:rRNA from 1 species